rnacentral:lncRNA from 1 species
AUGAUCUCAACUUCAUGAUAGAUAUGAUCUAUAUUGUAGAUACAAUUUAUGUUUUUGAUUUUAGAUUUCAGAUUAUGCAUGUUAUAUAAAAUCAUAAGAUCCUUGUUUAGGUAGUUUUUAGAUUAGAUCUAAUGUAUGCUAGAUUGAAAUGAUUAAUCUAGAUUCAUUUCAUUGUGUUAAGAUUCAAAAAAAAAUUAAAUUAUAUGCAUGAAACUACCUGCAAACUUUCAGUGAUAUCAGAGCC